rnacentral:rRNA from 1 species
GACGAACGCUGGCGGCGUGCUUAACACAUGCAAGUCGAACGGAAAGGCCCUGCCUUUGUGGGGUGCUCGAGUGGCGAACGGGUGAGUAACACGUGAGUAACCUGCCCUUGACUUUGGGAUAACUUCAGGAAACUGGGGCUAAUACCGGAUAGGAGCUCCUGCUGCAUGGUGGGGGUUGGAAAGUUUCGGCGGUUGGGGAUGGACUCGCGGCUUAUCAGCUUGUUGGUGGGGUAGUGGCUUACCAAGGCUUUGACGGGUAGCCGGCCUGAGAGGGUGACCGGCCCCAUUGGGACUGAGAUACGGCCCAGACUCCUACGGGAGGCAGCAGUGGGGAAUAUUGCACAAUGGGCGGAAGCCUGAUGCAGCAACGCCGCGUGCGGGAUGACGGCCUUCGGGUUGUAAACCGCUUUCGCCUGUGACGAAGCGUGAGUGACGGUAAUGGGUAAAGAAGCACCGGCUAACUACGUG